rnacentral:lncRNA from 13 species
GGGCGGGGUGUGGAAUUACCUGUAGGCAGCUCGUAGGAGACCCAGCCCAGGUGGACCCGGGGUGAGAGAGAGAGAGAGAAAAAAUGAGUGCGUGCGCGCGCCCGCGCGCGCGCGCGUGUGUGUGUGUGUGUGUGUGUGUGUGUGUAGGCAGGGAGCGGGGCGCCUGGGCCGGAGAAGGGUCCUAGGGCCAGUCCCUGCGCGCCUUGAUCAGGGCGGUGGCUAAGGGAGAGCCCAGCACAGAUGGCGCUGGGGCAGAGGUCUAGAGAUUCCCGCUCCCGUCCCUGACACACCUGGACAGGUGUGAGACCUCGCAACCGGCCAAGAAGCAGCUCCAGGCAGCCCGUCUGUCCACUCCUCUUAGCCCGGACCGCUUCUAGACGGACCUGAUUUUUUGUCUUGCUCAACCCGUCGAAAACUGGAGGGCAGAGUAGGGGUGGGAGUGGGGAAGAGGUAGGGGUGGGGUGGUGGUGAAGGUGAGGAGGAGAAAUGCAGCUUUGGCUGAGAAGUCUCGGUAGGAUGUUCUUACUUAUUUACAUUCUCCAAACUUUCUGCAUCCUAACGCCCUGGCAUCCUAUCUUCAGGCCUAGGAGCGUCCACCUCCCACUGGCCACUCUAGUCUGGGCUUAGACCUUUCCAUGUUCCUGUCGCCUGGCUCGACUGGGAAGUGGCGCUGAGGGAGGCAUUUGUUCUGGUUUCCCUGUCGCGGUCGGCCAUCUCCAGUGACCUAGUUUCUUGGCUUACCCUCAGCCCAGGAUAGCCCUGACUGCAAUUUUCCGACAUCUAGGGCAGCUCCAGGCUCUGAUUCUCCACAGCAAACACAGUGAGCGAGCUCGCCAGUCGCCCAGUCUGCGGAGGCUCCCAGGCCAGCCCCGGCACCCGACUGCCGAGAAGCCCAGAGCUUCCCCAUUAGCCAGCAGAGGCUGGUGGAGAGCCUGGAUGGAGGUGAGAGGCCUUGAGGUAGGGCUAGUAGUGGAGGGAGAGGAAGAUAGAGAAAUUGGCUCUUGGCUUGAACUAUAGCUGAAAU